rnacentral:rRNA from 2 species
UGCUGGAGGUAUCAGAAGUGCGAAUGCUGACAUAAGUAACGAUAAAGCGGGUGAAAAGCCCGCUCGCCGGAAGACCAAGGGUUCCUGUCCAACGUUAAUCGGGGCAGGGUGAGUCGACCCCUAAGGCGAGGCCGAAAGGCGUAGUCGAUGGGAAACGGGUUAAUAUUCCCGUACUUGGUGUUACUGCGAAGGGGGGACGGAGAAGGCUAUGUUGGCCGGGCGACGGUUGUCCCGGUUUAAGCGUGUAGGUGUGUGUUCCAGGUAAAUCCGGUUCACUUUAACACUGAGGCGUGACGACGAGGCACUACGGUGCUGAAGCAACAAAUGCCCUGCUUCCAGGAAAAGCCUCUAAGCAUCAGGUAACAUCAAAUCGUACCCCAAACCGACACAGGUGGUCAGGUAGAGAAUACCAAGGCGCUUGAGAGAACUCGGGUGAAGGAACUAGGCAAAAUGGUGCCGUAACUUCGGGAGAAGGCACGCUGACACGUAGGUGAAGUGAUUUACUCAUGGAGCUGAAGUCAGUCGAAGAUACCAGCUGGCUGCAACUGUUUAUUAAAAACACAGCACUGUGCAAACACGAAAGUGGACGUAUACGGUGUGACGCCUGCCCGGUGCCGGAAGGUUAAUUGAUGGGGUCAGCGCAAGCGAAGCUCCUGAUCGAAGCCCCGGUAAACGGCGGCCGUAACUAUAACGGUCCUAAGGUAGCGAAAUUCCUUGUCGGGUAAGUUCCGACCUGCACGAAUGGCGUAAUGAUGGCCAGGCUGUCUCCACCCGAGACUCAGUGAAAUUGAACUCGCUGUGAAGAUGCAGUGUACCCGCGGCAAGACGGAAAGACCCCGUGAACCUUUACUAUAGCUUGACACUGAACAUUGAGCCUUGAUGUGUAGGAUAGGUGGGAGGCUUUGAAGCGUGGACGCCAGUCUGCGUGGAGCCGACCUUGAAAUACCACCCUUUAAUGUUUGAUGUUCUAACGUGGACCCGUGAUCCGGGUUGCGGACAGUGUCUGGUGGGUAGUUUGACUGGGGCGGUCUCCUCCUAAAGAGUAACGGAGGAGCACGAAGGUUGGCUAAUCCUGGUCGGACAUCAGGAGGUUAGUGCAAUGGCAUAAGCCAGCUUGACUGCGAGCGUGACGGCGCGAGCAGGUGCGAAAGCAGGUCAUAGUGAUCCGGUGGUUCUGAAUGGAAGGGCCAUCGCUCAACGGAUAAAAGGUACUCCGGGGAUAACAGGCUGAUACCGCCCAAGAGUUCAUAUCGACGGCGGUGUUUGGCACCUCGAUGUCGGCUCAUCACAUCCUGGGGCUGAAGUAGGUCCCAAGGGUAUGGCUGUUCGCCAUUUAAAGUGGUACGCGAGCUGGGUUUAGAACGUCGUGAGACAGUUCGGUCCCUAUCUGCCGUGGGCGCUGGAGAACUGAGGGGGGCUGCUCCUAGUACGAGAGGACCGGAGUGGACGCAUCACUGGUGUUCGGGUUGUCAUGCCAAUGGCACUGCCCGGUAGCUAAAUGCGGAAGAGAUAAGUGCUGAAAGCAUCUAAGCACGAAACUUGCCCCGA